AUACGGAGGAUCCGAGCGUUAUCCGGAUUUAUUGGGUUUAAAGGGAGCGUAGGUGGAUUGUUAAGUCAGUUGUGAAAGUUUGCGGCUCAACCGUAAAAUUGCAGUUGAAACUGGCAGUCUUGAGUACAGUAGAGGUGGGCGGAAUUCGUGGGGUAGCGGUGAAAUGCUUAGAUAUCACGAAGAACUCCGAUUGCGAAGGCAGCUCACUAGACUGUUACUGACACUGAUGCUCGAAAGUGUGGGUAUCAAACAGUAUUAGAUACCCUGGUAGUCCACACAGUAAACGAUGAAUACUCGCUGUUUGCGAUAUACAGUAAGCGGCCAAGCGAAAGCAUUAAGUAUUCCACCUGGGGAGUACGCCGGCAACGGUGAAACUCAAAUGAAUUGACGGGG
rnacentral:rRNA from 1 species